rnacentral:rRNA from 1 species
UACAGAGGGUGCGAGCGUUAAUCGGAAUUACUGGGCGUAAAGGGCUCGUAGGCGGCCAACUAAGUCAGACGUGAAAUCCCUCGGCUUAACCGGGGAACUGCGUCUGAUACUGGAUGGCUUGAGUUUGGGAGAGGGAUGCGGAAUUCCAGGUGUAGCGGUGAAAUGCGUAGAUAUCUGGAGGAACACCGGUGGCGAAGGCGGCAUCCUGGACCAACACUGACGCUGAGGAGCGAAAGCCAGGGGAGCAAACGGG